rnacentral:rRNA from 1 species
UACGUAGGGGGCAAGCGUUGUCCGGAUUUAUUGGGCGUAAAGAGCGUGUAGGCGGCUUGGAAGGUCAGCUGUGAAAACUCGAGGCUCAACCUCGAGACGUCGGUUGAAAACACCUGGCUAGAGUCCGGAAGAGGAGAGUGGAAUUCCCGGUGUAGCGGUGAAAUGCGCAGAUAUCGGGAAGAACACCCGUGGCGAAGGCGGCUCUCUGGGACGGUACUGACGCUGAGGUGCGAAAGCGUGGGGAGCAAACAGG